AACGCACAUUGCGCCCAUUAGCAUUCUAGUGGGCAUGCCUGUUCGAGCGUCAUUUCAACCCUUAAGCCCUGUUGCUUAGCGUUGGGAGCCUACAGUACUGUAGCUCCCCAAAGUUAGUGGCGGAGUCGGUUUCACACUCUAGACGUAGUAAAUCUUUCUCGUCUGUAGUUGAGCCGGUCCCCUGCCGUAAAACACCCAAUUUAUCAAGGUUGACCUCGGAUCAGGUAGGAAUACCCGCUGAACUUAA
rnacentral:misc_RNA from 1 species